GACGAACGCUGGCGGCGUGCCUAAUACAUGCAAGUCGAACGCAGUGGGGACGGGUGAGUAACACGUGGGUAACCUCCCAUCAGAGGGGAUAACACUUGGAAACAGGUGCUAAACCGAUACUGAUGGAUGGACCCGCGGUGCAUUAGCUAGUUGGUGAGGUAACGGCUCACCAAGGCCACGAUGCAUAGCCGACCUGAAAGGGUGAUGGGCCACAAGGGGACUGAGAAACGGCCCAGAUUCCUACGGGAGGCAGCAGUAGGGAAGCUUCGGCAAUGGGCGGAAGUCGGACCGAGCAACGCCGCGUGAGUGAAGAAGGUUUACGGAUCGUAAAUCACUGUUAUGAGAGAAGCGGUAUCUAACCAGAAAGCCACGGCUAACUACGUGCCAGCAGCCGCGGUAAUUC
rnacentral:rRNA from 1 species